UUGCACGCUGGCGGCAUGCUUUACCCCUGCAAGUCGCACGGUAACAGGCCUUCGGGUGCUGCCGAGUGGCGAACGGGUGAGUAAUGCAUCGGAACGUACCCAGAGGUGGGGGAUAACGCAGCGAAAGCUGUGCUAAUACCGCAUGUGAUCUGAGGAUGAAAGCGGGGGACCGAGCAGCAAUGUUUGGCCUCGCGCCUUUGGAGCGGCCGAUGUCGGAUUAGCUAGUUGGUGGGGUAAAGGCCUACCAAGGCGACGAUCCGUAGCUGGUCUGAGAGGACGACCAGCCACACUGGGACUGAGACACGGCCCAGACUCCUACGGGAGGCAGCAGUGGGGAAUUUUGGACAAUGGGCGCAAGCCUGAUCCAGCAAUGCCGCGUGCGGGAAGAAGGCCUUCGGGUUGUAAACCGCUUUUGGCAGGAACGAAACGGUGUCCGCUAAUACCGGGCGCUAAUGACGGUACCUGCAGAAUAAGCACCGGCUAACUACGUG
rnacentral:rRNA from 1 species